GAUGAACGCUGGCGGCGUGCUUAACACAUGCAAGUCGAACGAUGAAGCCCAGCUUGCUGGGUGGAUUAGUGGCGAACGGGUGAGUAACACGUGAGUAACCUGCCCUUAACUCUGGGAUAAGCCUGGGAAACUGGGUCUAAUACCGGAUAGGAGCGUCCACCGCAUGGUGGGUGUUGGAAAGAUUUAUCGGUUUUGGAUGGACUCGCGGCCUAUCAGCUUGUUGGUGAGGUAAUGGCUCACCAAGGCGACGACGGGUAGCCGGCCUGAGAGGGUGACCGGCCACACUGGGACUGAGACACGGCCCAGACGCCUACGGGAGGCAGCAGUGGGGAAUAUUGCACAAUGGGCGCAGGCCUGAUGCAGCGACGCCGCGUGAGGGAUGACGGCCUUCGGGUUGUAAACCUCUUUCAGUAGGGAAGAAGCGAAAGUGACGGUACCUGCAGAAGAAGCACCGGCUAACUACGG
rnacentral:rRNA from 1 species